UGAGUACGAGAUGCUACGGCAUCGAAGCAGUCUAUGUCAUACUUCCAAGAAAAGCUCGCACUGUCAAAAACAAAUGAAUGCCUGUACCAUAACCGACACAGGUGGGUAGGUAGAGUAUACUAAGGGGCGCGAGAUAACUCUCUCUAAGGAACUCGGCAAAAUGACUCCGUAACUUCGGGAGAAGGAGUGCCUUAUUUAUAAGGUUGCAAUAACCAGCUCCAAGCAACUGUUUAUCAAAAACACAGGUCUCCGCUAAGUCGUAAGACGAUGUAUGGGGGCUGACGCCUGCCCAGUGCCAGAAGGUUAAAGAAGUUGGUUAGCGCAAGCGAAGCUGAUAACUGAAGCCCUGGUGAACGGCGGCCGUAACUAUAACGGUCCUAAGGUAGCGAAAUUCCUUGUCGGGUAAGUUCCGACCCGCACGAAAGGCGUAAUGAUUUGGAGGCUGUCUCGGAGAGGGACUCGGUGAAAUAGACUUGUCUGUGAAGAUGCGGACUACCUGCACCAGGACAGAAAGACCCUAUGAAGCUUUACUGUAACUUGAGAUUGAAAUUGGACUUUAUUCGCGCAGUAUAGGUGGGAGGCAUUGAAAAUAUUCUUGCGGGAAUAUUGGAGCCAUCAGUGAGAUACCACUCUUGUAAUGUUAGAUUUCUAACUUUGUAUCAUUAUCUGGUCAAAGAACAGUUUCAGGCGGGCAGUUUGACUGGGGCGGUCGCCUCCUAAAUGGUAACGGAGGCGCACAAAGGUUUCCUCUGAACGGGUAGAAAUCGUAUCUAGAGUGUAAAGGCAUAAGGAAGCUUGACUGUGAGACCCACAAGUCGAGCAGGGACGAAAGUCGGUCUUAGUGAUCUGACGGUGCUGAGUGGAAAGGCCGUCACUCAACGGAUAAAAGUUACUCUAAGGAUAACAGGCUGAUCUCCCCCAAGAGUUCACAUCGACGGGGAGGUUUGGCACCUCGAUGUCGGCUCAUCGCAUCCUGGGGCGGUAGUACGUCCCAAGGGUUGGGCUGUUCGCCCAUGAAAGCGGUACGCGAGCUGGGUUCAGAACGUCGUGAGACAGUUCGGUCCAUAUCCGGUGUAGGCGUUAGAAUAUUGAGAGGAGCCUUCUUUAGUACGAGAGGACCGAGAAGGACAUACCUCUGGUGUACCAGUUAUCGUGCCAACGGUAAACGCUGGGUAGCCAUGUAUGGAGUGGAUAACCGCUGAAAGCAUCUAAGUGGGAAGCCCACCUCAAGAUAAG
rnacentral:rRNA from 1 species